rnacentral:misc_RNA from 1 species
GAUGAAGAACGUAGCGAAAUGCGAUAAGUAAUGUGAAUUGCAGAAUUCCGUGAGUCAUCGAAUCUUUGAACGCACAUUGCGCCCCCUGGCAUUCCGGGGGGCAUGCCUGUCCGAGCGUCAUUUCUGCCCUCCAGCCCGGCUGGGUGUUGGGCGCUGUCCCCCCGGGGACACGCCCCAAAGGCAGUGGCGGCGCCGCGUCGGGUCCUCGAGCGUAUGGGGCUUUGUCACCCGCUCGGGACGGACUCGUCGGCGCUGGUCUUCCUCCAGGCGACCCUUCGGGGCUCGUCUUCCUUCGGUUGACCUCGGAUCAGGUAGGGUUACCCGCUGAACUUAAGCAUAUCAAUAAGCGGAGGA